UCACUUUGGGGAUGGUGCCGUGUUUCCUGUCCCUGUUCAUAGGGCUCAGACUGGGAGAGGCUCUGACACAAUCAGCACCAAGCUACAAUAGAAUGUUUUAGUUCUAAUACUGGCAUUUCUUUCCACUGCUCCCACAGUGCAUAAAGCAUCCAUAAUCCAAUGAGAGAGAGAGAGAGAAUAUGACAGCCAGACCAUCAGGAAUGCCCAAGAGAUCCUGGGAUGCAGCUCAGAUUCUGCCUCCUACCCCACACCUUGCUGAGAAGCAAAGAUUGUGGUCCCACAGUGCAUAAAGCAUCCACGCUCCAUACACAGAAAGAGAGAGAGGUGGGGAGAGAAAUAAAGAGGAUGAAAGACAGAGAGAAGGAGAAUGACUAUCAAGGAAGACCAGGAGAUGCCAUGAGAAUCAGAGUUGGUCUUGCACCUGACAGUGCAAAGAAGCAGAGAUUGAAGUUCUUAUUUAAGGCCAGACUGUGAACCCUAGUCCCACUCAGAUAGAACCACUGUCUUCAGUGGAACUGCUGAUAAGAGCGAGCUCACCAUGAACCUGUCACUGGCCUGGGCUACUUUGUUUCUGGCUCAGCAGGAAGUGUCAUCAGAGAUCAAAAACUGCAUCUAGAGUGUACAGGAAAUGUGGCAUCUUUACACUUCUUGGAAGACUUACUCCAUGGCAUGACUGUAAUCCACAUUCUGUCCUAUAAUCUGUUAGCCGCAAAAAUCAGAAGAAAAGCAGGGAAAAAUCGAAGUCAUAGCCAUGUGAUUUAAUUCAAGAUGUUGAAGGACCUCGCGGUUCUACCACACCCUGCCUCAGGAAAGGAGCAGUAAAGGUGGGUCCUUCAGGUCUGCCUAGAAGGACUGCAAGAAAACAGCCAGUCAGCACAGCAGGCUCAGUUAAAAGGAGGCACUGAGCAUGUCAUUUUCUGGCUGGGACCAGAAGGGCUAAGACAGAGGGACUCUCCAGACAAGGAGGCCUGGGAGAGACUGUGCAAACAGGGAACAGACAGACCCAAGGACCGUAACCCUAAGGUAAUGGAUGACAGUGAUGGAACAGAGUGGGAAGCAGCUAAGGGAAUGCAGCAGCAGCUACUAUUAAAGAAAGCAGCAUGUGACUGCUAUUUGUAAGGGCUGUGGAUGCGCUUUGGGUUCCCCCACUGGAAGGGUGGCCAAAGCCCUGAGAAGGGGACAAGCUUCAUUUGGAGGCCCAAGCACAGGGCUGGAAUUUAAAGGCCUUAUGGAUGGGGCUGAAGACCCUGCAGAGGUCCAAGCAUUUGCUGGACAUUUGUUACUCUGGCAAGGGUUCAUCCAUUUGAGACUGUGUGACAGCCUGAGGGCCACUCACUGAAGAACCACCUCAACCCACCUGACAAGGGCAACAGUUGACAGGGGGCUCUGUGAGCAAAGAGAGAGUGCACACCCAGCUGACAGGAGCUGCUCACUGCAGGAGAGGAAGAUCCCAGUUGCAACUGAGUUCCAUGCUAUAAAGCAAUUGCUGAAGAACUAGAAACAGAUUCCUCUGUAAUGAUGAGGGAUUCAACGGUACCACAUAAGCUCAGUCCAAGCAAUUUCGGGACUUCCAUGGAACUGUUAUGGAUAUAUCUGGAGCAUAAUUAGGCUGGAAACCACAGCUAAAGUGCUUCCUAUCUAUUCCCAGGGCAGCUGGAAUUAUGUUACUGUAUUUGAUUUAUGCAUCCAAACAAGCCACCGUAGACAAUAUGGAAAUCCAAGAGGCAGAUCUGUGAAAGGAUUAAUUUAACAACGUAUGUUACUUGUAUUAAAGUUAAAUUGAGUUAUAUGUAAAUUUACAAGGAAAAGAGGAGAAAAAUCCUACUGCAGGGUAUACACUACAGAGCAGGCCUCAUCUUUCUUCCAUUUGUUCUUAUUUUAGAGAGUAGAAAUUUGGGGAUUGUUGCCUGUGGGAAUCUUUCGGUAGUGUAUUUCCUAAGUCCAGGAGAAGCCACGGUGCUUGCUGCAGACCACUGGUCUCCAAUAUGGACCAUGAGAAAGGGCUUCUAAGUGCAAUUUAUAAUUAUCUGGUGUUAGGAAAGAAGCACUUCAGUUUCCCCUAGAGAGUGGGAAAAGUCCUACAUAUUAGUUGGCUUUAGGUGGUUUGUUAGUGGUAGCCCAAUACUUUCCUGACCAGAAAAAGAAAAGUUAAAAAAAAAGAGAGUUCAUUGGGGGGAAUUGUAUUCCCAUCCUCACCUGUGGUCAUGAACUUUGGGUAAUGACCGAAAGGAUGAGAUCACAGGUACAAACAGCAGAAAUGAGGUUUCUCUGCAGGGUGGGCUGGGCUUACUCUCUUACAUAGGGUGAGGGGCUCGGCUAUUCAGGAGAGCCUCGGCGUGAAGCCACUACUCCUCUGGAUCGAGAAGAGCCAGCUGAGGUGGUUUGGGCAGCUGAUAAGGAUGCCCCCGGGCAUGUCCCUUUGGGAGGAAACCCUGGGGCCAACCCAGGACACACUGAAGGGAUUAUCUCUUCCAGUUGGCCUAGGAACGCUGGGGAAUCCCUUGAGGAGGAGCUGGAACUUGUUGCAGAAGAAAAGGAGGUCUGGUCCUCCCUACCCUUUCUGCUACUACUGUGACUCUCGCCAGGAAAAAUGGCAUAAAGAAAGAAGAAGAAAACAUACAUUGAGGUAGAAGGGGAUGACUGGCUAAAACCAAUUAGAGCUGGAACCAAGUGUCCGUAAAGCUUGCUUUAAUUUUGAAAAAACUCUG